rnacentral:tRNA from 1 species
GCCUUUGUGGUGUAGUGGUCAGCACGCUCGACGCGUAACUGAGAGGUCUGUGGAUCGAUUCCCGGCGAAGGCG